rnacentral:rRNA from 1 species
AACGAACGCUGGCGGCAUGCCUAACACAUGCAAGUCGAACGAGAUCUUCGGGUCUAGUGGCGCACGGGUGCGUAACGCGUGGGAAUCUGCCCUUUGGUUCGGAAUAACAGUUGGAAACGACUGCUAAUACCGGAUGAUGACGAAAGUCCAAAGAUUUAUCGCCAGAGGAUGAGCCCGCGUAGGAUUAGCUAGUUGGUGUGGUAAAGGCGCACCAAGGCGACGAUCCUUAGCUGGUCUGAGAGGAUGAUCAGCCACACUGGGACUGCGACACGGCCCAGACGCCUACGGGAGGCAGCAGUGGGGAAUAUUGGACAAUGGGCGAAAGCCUGAUCCAGCAAUGCCGCGUGAGUGAUGAAGGCCUUAGGGUUGUAAAGCUCUUUUACCCGGGAUGAUAAUGACAGUACCGGGAGAAUAAGCUCCGGCUAACUCCGUGCCAGCCGCCGCGGUAA